rnacentral:rRNA from 1 species
AUGGUAACAACACUAGUGCUUGCCCUCCCUGAUUUUUCCUUGCCAUUUACAGUGGAGACGGAUGCGUGUGACACGGGGAUUGGUGCGGUGUUGUCCCAACGGGGUCACUCAAUUGCUUUUCUCAGCCGCGCGCUCGGUGUCAACAAUUUGAAGCUAUCAGUGUACGAGAAAGAAUUCCUUGCAGUAAUGCUGGCCGUUGAUCGUUGGCGCCACUACCUACAGCAAGGGCAAUUCACUAUCCUGACGGAUCAUAAGAGCCUAUGCACACUUGGGGAACAACAACUUGGCUCGGAAGUUCAGCGCAAGGCCAUGGCCAAAUUGGGGGGCCUUCAGUUUAAAUUCAAAUACACACGUGGCAUUGACAAUACCGCGGAUGAUUCAUUGUCCUGUAUAGGCCAUUUGUUCUCUGUGACCACGUCUUCGACUUGUCAGCCUUCCUGGAUACAAGAGGUUCGUAAUUCCUAUCAGACUGACGCCAAAGCAAAUGAGUUGUUACAAGCAUUGACUGUUCGUAGCCCGGACGAUCAAGGCCAUGAAUUGGACAGGGGCAUGAUCAAGUACAAGGGCCGCUUAUGGAUUGGUGCAAAUGCUGCCCUCCAAACAAAACUAAUCAGCGAGCUACACUCAGCUGCCGUGGGGGGACAUUCGGGGAUACGACCAACCUAUCUCAGACUGAAGAAUCUAUUCUAUUGGCCAGGGAUGAAACUGCAGGUGGAGGAAUUUGUCAAGCAGUGCGCCGUUUGUCAGCAUGCCAAACAUGAACACACACAUCCUUCGGGUACCCUGCAACCAUUACCCAUACCUGCUCAAGCUUGGGGCGAUGUCACCAUGGAUUUCAUCGAAGCUUUGCCAUGA